GACCGUGCGAAGGUAGCAUAAUCAUUAGUUUUUUAAUUGGAGGCUAGAAUGAAUGGUUGGACAAGAAAUAAUCUGUCUUAAUUCAAUAUAUUGAAUUUAACUUUUAAGUGAAAAGGCUUAAAUAAUUUGAAGGGACGAUAAGACCCUAUAAAACUUUAUAUUUAUAAAUGAUAGUUAAUUUUAUUUUAAAAUAUUAUUUUAAAAUAUUUGGUUGGGGUGACAAGGAUAAAAUAAAAAAUAAUUGUCUUUUUUUUUUACAGUAAUAUUUGGUUUAAUGAUCCUAAAAAGGAUUAGAAGAUUAAGUUACUUUAGGGAUAACAGCGUAAUUUUCUUUGAAAGUUCUUAUUGACAAGAAAGUUUGCGACCUCGAUGUUGAAUUAAAAGUUCUUUAUAGAGUAGAAACUAUAAUAGAAGGUCUGUUCGACCUUUAAAAUUUUACAUGAUUUGAGUUCAGACCGGUGUAAGCCAGGUUGGUUUCUAUCU
rnacentral:rRNA from 1 species